UACCAGCACCCCGAGUGGUCGGGACGUUUAUUGGGCCUAAAGCAUCCGUAGCCGGUUCUACAAGUCUUCCGUUAAAUCCAUCUGCUUAACAGGUGGGCUGCGGAAGAUACUAUAGAGCUAGGAGGCGGGAGAGGCAAGCGGUACUCGAUGGGUAGGGGUAAAAUCCGUUGAUCCAUUGAAGACCACCAGUGGCGAAGGCGGCUUGCCAGAACGCGCUCGACGGUGAGGGAUGAAAGCUGGGGGAGCAAACCGG
rnacentral:rRNA from 1 species